rnacentral:lncRNA from 10 species
GGACCACUGGAGGAGCUCUGGAGGCUCCCUCUUGUGAAUACUAGGAGCACCUGAGCAGCCAGUAGGAGGAAGGAGAGCAGGGUGAGGCUACGGAUCCUCAUGGCUGCAGCUGGGCGGGCACCUGUUUGACAAAAGGCAGCUCCAAAGCGCUGGAUUUCUAUCUCCUGACUCCAUAUGGGCAUGGAUGCCUGAAAUGAGAAAAGACGUGACAGAUGCC